GUCUCGAUAGCUCAGCUGGAUAGAGCAACGGUCUUCUAAACCGUAGGCCGUGGGUUCGAAUCCCACUCGGGGCA
rnacentral:tRNA from 8 species